rnacentral:rRNA from 1 species
GAAGGAAAGCAGGGGAUCGCAAGACCUUGCGCUUUUUGGAGCGGCCGAUGUCUGAUUAGCUAGUUGGUGAGGUAAAGGCUUACCAAGGCGUCGAUCAGUAGCUGGUCUGAGAGGACGACCAGCCACACUGGGACUGAGACACGGCCCAACUCCUACGGGAGGCAGCAGUGGGGAAUUUUGGACAAUGGGGGAAACCCUG